GAUGAACGCUGGCGGCGUGCUUAACACAUGCAAGUCGAACGGAAAGGCCCAGCUUUUGUGGGGUGUUCGAGUGGCGAACGGGUGAGUAACAAGUGAGUAACCUGCCCUUCACUGUGGGAUAACUUCAGGAAACUGGCGCUAAUCCCGGAUAGGAGCUCAUGCCGCAUGGUGGGGGUUGGAAAGUUUCGGCGGUUGGGGAUGGACUCGCGGCUUAUCAGCUUGUUGGUGGGGUAGUGGCUUACCAAGGCUGUGACGGGUAGCCGGCCUGAGAGGGUGACGGGCCACAUUGGGACUGAGAUACGGCCCAGACUCCUACGGGAGGCAGCAGUGGGGAAUAUUGCACAAUGGGCGGAAGCCUGAUGCAGCAACGCCGCGUGCGGGAUGACGGCCUUCGGGUUGUAAACCGCUUUCGCCUGUGACGAAGCGUGAGUGACGGUAAUGGGUAAAGAAGCACCGGCUAACUACGUG
rnacentral:rRNA from 1 species